UUUUUGAUGGCUGAAUUAUAGCGAAAGAUUUUUAAUCUUUUUAUGGGUUAUCCCUCGUAAAA
rnacentral:tRNA from 1 species